rnacentral:rRNA from 1 species
CUACGGGAGGCAGCAGUGGGGAAUUUUGCGCAAUGGGCGAAAGCCUGACGCAGCAACGCCGCGUGCGGGAUGAAGGCUCUCGGGUCGUAAACCGCUUUCAGCAGGGAUGAAAUUGACAGUACCUGCAGAAGAAGCCCCGGCUAAAUACGUGCCAGCAGCCGCGGUAAUACGUAUGGGGCAAGCGUUAUCCGGAUUCAUUGGGCGUAAAGAGCGCGUAGGCGGAUUGUUAAGCGAGAUGUGAAAACCGGGGGCUUAACCCGCGGCCUGCAUCUCGAACUGGCAGUCUUGAGUCUGGUAGAGGAGUGUGGAAUUCCCAGUGUAGCGGUGAAAUGCGCAGAUAUUGGGAGGAACACCAGUGGCGAAGGCGGCACUCUGGGCCACGACUGACGCUGAGGCGCGAAAGCUAGGGGAGCGAACAGGAUUAGAUACCCCUGUAA